AUGAACGCUGGCGGCGUGCCUAAUCCAUGCAAGUCGCGCGAACAGACGAGGAGCUUGCUCCUCUGACGUUAGCGGCGGACGGGUGAGUAACACGUGGAUAACCUACCUAUAAGACUGGGAUAACUUCGGGAAACCGGAGCUAAUACCGGAUAAUAUAUUGAACCGCAUGGUUCAAUAGUGAAAGACGGUUUUGCUGUCACUUAUAGAUGGAUCCGCGCCGCAUUAGCUAGUUGGUAAGGUAACGGCUUACCAAGGCGACGAUGCGUAGCCGACCUGAGAGGGUGAUCGGCCACACUGGAACUGAGACACGGUCCAGACUCCUACGGGAGGCAGCAGUAGGGAAUCUUCCGCAAUGGGCGAAAGCCUGACGGAGCAACGCCGCGUGAGUGAUGAAGGUCUUCGGAUCGUAAAACUCUGUUAUUAGGGAAGAACAAAUGUGUAAGUAACUAUGCACGUCUUGACGGUACCUAAUCAGAAAGCCACGGCUAACUACGUG
rnacentral:rRNA from 1 species